rnacentral:misc_RNA from 1 species
CGCGGUCAACGGGAUGAUAGAUCUACGUUCUCACAAAACUUUCCUCGACGAAUCCGAUGAUCUCGUGUCCUUAGACAUACCUCAUCAUAGUUUUCCUCUGUAGCAUUAUCGUGGCGGAAAGUCAUUUUCUCGUGAGGUCUCAUUAGCGAGUUACAUAGCGUCUUUACGCUCGGUGAAUAUUCUACGUUUUAACAAAGAGUUAGUUUAGUAAUACUUGUACCGUAGACAAGCAAGUUGAGUACAACUUGGACUUUGGAAGAAAGCGCAUUUUGUUAUCCCGUUGACCGCGGAUUCGUUACUGAACCUCGAAUCAUUGUCAUUAGCAUCUCGAGUAUCUAAUUGCCACGGUUACUUGUCAAAUUCUGUAAUAAUCAUAUUUAUACUAGUAAAUAUCUUCUCUCUUGCAUAACAACAAUGUCUAAUCCAGAUGAAGAUUCGUUACAUGCCCCUAACCCUAAUCAUAAUGUGAACUCGACAUAUAUAUUAGGUCAUCCGA